UUGCACCUUGGAGACGGUUGCUGUGCGACGCUUCUUCAUCUCCAGGAAGUAAAACUCCAGAGAGGUGGAGCAACAGGAAUCUUCUACAGACUCCCAAAAAAUGGACGAUUCGUUGCAAAUAGGUGAAAAUGGAUUCAACGGAUUUCCGAAAAGUAAUGCCAGGAGUGGUAGAAGAGCUCGCCAAGCUGUUGAUCAGACGUCUGCAGAAGAUUCACGACACGGCAGGAAGUCGUCCUCCUCGGGCAUGUCAGCACCUGGAGAGGAGGAAGAUGACACGGGACCUCCACCGAAGCCACCUCGCAGACAGGGAGGUUGGGCUGAAGAGACCACCGGGACCGGAUCUGCCAAAGCUGGAAGAAGACAAGGUCCCGAGGAGGUCGAGGACCGCCGGUUAAGACCUCAAACCCCCAAGGGCUCGGAUGAUGAAAGCGAUAUCCCUGUGAUCCCAGAUCUGGAUGAAGUACAGGAAGAGGACCUUACCAUGCAAGUGGCUGCACCUCCCAGUAUCCAGGUGAACAGAGUGAUGACCUACAGAGAUCUGGACAAUGAUCUUAUGAAGUAUACAGCAUUUCAGACUCUGGAUGGUGAGAUUGACCUGAAACUGCUCACCAAGGUUUUAGCACCAGAGCAGGAGGUGAGAGAGGAGGAUGUUGGCUGGGACUGGGAUCAUCUAUUUACAGAGGUGUCCUCCGAGCUGCAGACGGAAUGGGAUCAAGGAGAGAGAGAGGAACAGUCUCCUCUUCCUGUGGCCUGAGGAUAGAUGACUUUCAGUGAAAGGCCAGUGCAUUUCUCGCUAGGGGCCUCAUAUUACCUUUCAUGUCAUUCAUAUUAUUUGGAGAGAAUUUGUAGGAUCAACUCCAAGGUUAAUGAACAGGAAAACCUGGAACCUGGACCUGGAAACCCUACUGAUUACCCAAAACAUCAAUAUAAAAGUGUGCAACAGAAGGAGAAGUGAUGAGAGCUAAGGUUGCGUAAAUAUGAGCUUCACCUCAUUUAACAGUUCUCACCAUAUAAAUCACCCAACCUAAACUUUAUACUGGUUAACAUUGCCUACACAUGGCUUAAUGCAGUAUAGUAAGUCAAUAUAACUUAGUGUAGCACAUCUUAUCACCUGCAGAACUAGCAAGUUGUUUAUAGUAAA